UUGUCAUUUCAUAAGUAUCUGAAAUUGAUAUAGUCACAGUUCCAAAACAAACUCGCGUAAUUAUUUUUAAAUAAAAGUCGUGACUAAUUGCGAGACCGCGGUAUUUCAGCUACUGGAUAUGAAAAUAGCUUAAGACAAUGCAGCCCUUGACUUCUGCUUGACUGUCUUCUGCCUAAUUAUUGAGAAUGAAGCUACUCAGUACUCGGCCGUAUUGAAGAUUAAAGAUGACUGACAUCACAUAGCGAAGCCCUCGUCAUUCGUGCAGCAUAAGGAGUGAGAAGAUUUUAGUCGAUCAAGUGCACAAAGGCUGAACUGGAGCUCAUUAAUAUUUCUAGAUGACCAAAAAUGUUUUAUUCGUUACUGAUUUGUAUGUGCAGAUGCAGCCUUAUACUUAAGUAUACCUGUUAGAGCACAUCACAAAAAAGAGCAAACAAUGCGUUAAUGUUAGAAGCACAUGCUCUUGCAGUAUCGCAGUAUCGCAGUGUAGCGCCCAGUCCUGGUGUGUCAGUUCGGACGCAUAAAUGACGCGCUUUCAGAAAUUCCACGAAAGCUUCGCAUAAUUACUGUUUGCAUUAAGAGAGAGGGAAGUCCCGUAAUAAGGUGUAUAAUUAUGAUGGUGACUCGGUAGUAACGUAAGCAAAAUGUGGAGGAGAGCCGCUGUUUGGUUGUGCAGUGAUUCUCGAUAUGUCACUGACAUGCGAACAGAGAGAGAUUUGUAACAAUUUAAGUUGUCAGUUUGUGGAAUAUACAAUAAGUUUACUUUUAUAUGAAAAUAAUGUGAAAUAAAAAUGAAAAUAAUG